rnacentral:misc_RNA from 1 species
UCAAACUUGGUCAUUUAGAGGAAGUAAAAGUCGUAACAAGGUUUCCGUAGGUGAACCUGCGGAAGGAUCAUUAUUGAAAGCUUUGGGGGAAGUUCUUGUUUGCUGGCCUUCUCUAUGAGGGCAUGUGCACGUUCUUCUUCUAAUUCUUAUUCAUCCACCUGUGCACUUUGUUGUAGAAGUUUUGUUGUAGGUCGGCUUUGUAAUGAAGUUGGCUUGGAAGAGAGCUUCUAUGUUUCUUAUAAACUCAUUUGUAUGUCUUUGAAUGUUCAUUUAUUGGGACUUAAUUGGCCCUUUAAAGUUGUUAUACAACUUUCAGCAACGGAUCUCUUGGCUCUCCCAUCGAUGAAGAACGCAGC